UACGUAGGGUGCGAGCGUUAAUCGGAAUUACUGGGCGUAAAGCGCGCGCAGGCGGCUAUCCAAGUCAGUGGUGAAAAGCCCGGAGCUCAAACUCCGGAACUGCCAUUGAAACUGUUUUAGCUUGAGGACGAGAGAGGUGAGUGGAAUUCCCAGUGUAGAGGUGAAAAUUCGUAGAUAUUUGGGAAGAACACCGGUGGCGAAGGCGGCUCACUGGCUCGUAUCUGACGCUCAGGCGCGACAGCGUGGGGAUCAAACAAGG
rnacentral:rRNA from 1 species